rnacentral:tRNA from 1 species
CCUCCUUUCUAAGAGUUGUUGGUGAGUUUUAUUUACAAAAUUUAUCAACUUUUUAACUUAGUAAUUUUACAGCUUACCGUCCUCGUUUCUCUUUCAAUUUGUUUAAAACUAUGAAGCCUAUCGUAUAUAUCGGGCUUGUAGCUCAGUCUGGUUAGAGCGCACCCCUGAUAAGGGUGAGGUCGGUAGUUCGAGUCUACCCAGGCCCACCAAAUUACGGUGGUUUUUUUAGGGGCUUUAGCUCAGCUGGGAGAGCACCUGCUUUGCAAGCAGGGGGUCACCGGUUCGAUCCCGGUAAGCUCCACCAAGUUUUAAGCUUUUCUAUUUACAUCGUGAAGUGACAUCAAUACUAAAAAUAAAAUUUUUUAGAGAAUUCAAUUAAUUAAUAAAGUGCAAAAACAAAAGCAAAAGUUUGUUUUUUGUACAUAGAAUAUCAAGCGUUUAAGAGCAUUUGAUGGAUGCCUUGGCACACAGAGGCGAUGAAGGACGA